GAAAUGCGAUACUUGGUGUGAAUUGCAGAAUUCAGUGAAUCAUCGAAUCUUUGAACGCACAUUGCGCCCGCUGGUAUUCCGGCGGGCAUGCCUGUUCGAGCGUCAUUUCAACCCUCAGGCCCCCGGGCCUGGCGUUGGGGAUCGGCAGAAGCCCCCUGUGGGCACACGCCGUCCCUCAAAUACAGUGGCGGUCCCGCCGCAGCUUCCAUUGCGUAGUAGCUAACACCUCGCAACUGGAGAGCGGCGCGGCCAUGCCGUAAAACACCCAACUUCUGAAUGUUGACCUCGAAUCAGGUAGGAAUACCCGCUGAACUUAA
rnacentral:misc_RNA from 1 species